CGGACGGCAGCUUACACAUGCAAGUCGAGCGCACUCUUCGGAGUGAGCGGCGGACGGGUUAGUAACGCGUGGGAACGUGCCCUUCUCUAAGGAAUAGCCACUGGAAACGGUGAGUAAUACCUUAUACGCCCUUCGGGGGAAAGAUUUAUCGGAGAAGGAUCGGCCCGCGUUAGAUUAGAUAGUUGGUGGGGUAAUGGCCUACCAAGUCUACGAUCUAUAGCUGGUUUUAGAGGAUGAUCAGCAACACUGGGACUGAGACACGGCCCAGACUCCUACGGGAGGCAGCAGUGGGGAAUCUUGGACAAUGGGCGCAAGCCUGAUCCAGCCAUGCCGCGUGAGUGAUGAAGGCCUUAGGGUCGUAAAGCUCUUUCGCCAGAGAUGAUAAUGACAGUAUCUGGUAAAGAAACCCCGGCUAACUCCGUGCCAGCAGCCGCGGUAAUACGGAGGGGGUUAGCGUUGUUCGGAAUUACUGGGCGUAAAGCGCACGUAGGCGGAUCAGAAAGUAUAGGGUGAAAUCCCAGGGCUCAACCCUGGAACUGCCUUGUAAACUCCUGGUCUUGAGUUCGAGAGAGGUGAGUGGAAUUCCGAGUGUAGAGGUGAAAUUCGUAGAUAUUCGGAGGAACACCAGUGGCGAAGGCGGCUCACUGGCUCGAUACUGACGCUGAGGUGCGAAAGUGUGGGGAGCAAACAGGAUUAGAUACCCUGGUAGU
rnacentral:rRNA from 1 species